AGAUAAACUAGGCGCAUGAUCAGUAGCUGCACCACUAGAAAGAUGGCGGAGGAAGAGCAAAGAAAAAUCCCUUUGGUUCCAGAAAAUCUGCUGAAAAAGAGGAAGGCUUAUCAAGCCCUCAAAGCCACCCAGGCAAAGCAGGCACUUUUGGCAAAGAAGGAGCAGAGGAAAGGAAAAGGGCUCAGGUUUAAGCGACUGGAAUCAUUCCUACAUGAUUCCUGGCGGCAGAAACGUGACAAGGUGCGUCUCAGACGACUAGAAGUGAAACCUCAUGCCUUGGAAUUGCCAGACAAACAUUCCUUGGCCUUUGUUGUACGCAUCGAAAGGAUUGAUGGCGUGAGUUUAUUGGUGCAGAGAACCAUUACAAGACUUCGCCUAAAGAAAAUUUUUAGUGGUGUCUUUGUAAAAGUCACCCCCCAGAACCUAAAAAUGCUGCGUAUAGUGGAACCUUAUGUGACCUGGGGAUUUCCAAAUCUGAAGUCUGUCCGAGAACUCAUUUUGAAACGUGGACAAGCCAAGGUCAAGAAUAAGACCAUUUCUGCCAGACAACACAGUGAUUGAGGAGCACCUGGGGAAGUUUGGCGUCAUUUGCUUGGAAGAUCUCAUUCAUGAAAUUGCCUUCCCAGGGAAGCAUUUCCAGGAGAUCUCAUGGUUCUUGCGCCCUUUCCACCUCUCAGUGGCCCGACAUGCUACCAAAAAUAGAGUGGGCUUCCUCAAGGAGAUGGGCACACCUGGCUAUCGGGGUGAACGCAUCAAUCAGCUCAUCUGCCAGCUGAACUAGACCCAGGUAUCAAACUGCGGUAAAUUUUUAUCAAUGAAGUGGAAGCAUGUGUUUAAUUGUUUUGGGAAUUUUUAUCAAGUAUCUUCAGAGAAGAUUAUUUCCUGCUUUAUCUUCAAAAACUGGAAAGGAAGGGUCAAAGAAAAGACAGUAGCUGGCCAGGCGUGAUGGCUCACGCCUGUAAUCCCAACACUUUGGGAGGCUGAGGCGGGCAGAUCACCUGAGGUUGGGGGUUCGAGACCAGCCCGACCAACAUGAAGAAAUGCCG